rnacentral:rRNA from 1 species
GAUGAACGCUGGCGGCGUGCCUAAUACAUGCAAGUCGAGCGAACAGACGAGGAGCUUGCUCCUCUAACGUUAGCGGCGGACGGGUGAGUAACACGUGGAUAACCUACCUAUAAGACUGGGAUAACUUCGGGAAACCGGAGCUAAUACCGGAUAAUAUAUUGAACCGCAUGGUUCAAUAGUGAAAGACGGUUUUGCUGUCACUUAUAGAUGGAUCCGCGCCGCAUUAGCUAGUUGGUAAGGUAACAGCUUACCAAGGCAACGAUGCGUAGCCGACCUGAGAGGGUGAUCGGCCACACUGGAACUGAGACACGGUCCAGACUCCUACGGGAGGCAGCAGGAGGGAAUCUUCCGCAAUGGGCGAAAGCCUGACGGAGCAACGCCGCGUGAGUGAUGAAGGUCUUCGGAUCGUAAAACUCUGUUAUUAGGGAAGAACAAAUGUGUUAGUAACUAUGCACGUCUUGACGGUACCUAAUCAGAAAGCCACGGCUAACUACGUG